rnacentral:rRNA from 1 species
CCUGGCUCAAGACGAACGCUGGCGGCGUGCCUAACACAUGCAAGUCGAACGGAGAUACGCGCUGAAUGGAUGGAGCUUGCUUUUGAAAUUCUUGUGUAUCUUAGUGGCGGACGGGUGAGUAACGCGUGAGCAACCUGCCUUUCAGAGGGGGAUAACGUUUGGAAACGAACGCUAAUACCGCAUGAGACCACGGUACUGCAUAGUACAGUGGCCAAAGGAGCAAUCCGCUGAAAGAUGGGCUCGCGUCCGAUUAGAUAGUUGGCGGGGUAACGGCCCACCAAGUCGACGAUCGGUAGCCGGACUGAGAGGUUGAACGGCCACAUUGGGACUGAGACACGGCCCAGACUCCUACGGGAGGCAGCAGUGAGGGAUAUUGGUCAAUGGGGGAAACCCUGAACCAGCAACGCCGCGUGAGGGAAGACGGUUUUCGGAUUGUAAACCUCUGUCCUCUGUGAAGAUAAUGACGGUAGCAGAGGAGGAAGCUCCGGCUAACUACGUGCCAGCAGCCGCGGUAAUACGUAGGGAGCGAGCGUUGUCCGGAUUUACUGGGUGUAAAGGGUGCGUANGCGGCCCUGCAAGUCAGAAGUGAAAUCCAUGGGCUUAACCCGUGAACUGCUUUUUGAACUGCANGACUUGAGUGGAGUAAAGGUAGGCGGAAUUCCCGGUGUAGCGGUGAAAUGCGUANAGAUCGGGAGGAACA